rnacentral:piRNA from 1 species
UGGAUUUAUUCAUUUUUUUCA